rnacentral:rRNA from 2 species
UUGACCUCAAAUCAGGUAGGAUUACCCGCUGAACUUA